UACGAAGGGUCCAAGCGUUGUUCGGAAUUACUGGGCGUAAAGCGCGCGUAGGCGGGUUUGUAAGUUGAUUGUGAAAGCCCUGGGCUCAACCCGGGAACAGCAGUUAAAACUGCAAAUCUUGAAUGUCUGAGAGGAUGGCGGAAUAACCGGUGUAGUAGUGAAAUACGUAGAUAUCGGUUAGAACACCUGAGGCGAAGGCGGCUAUCUGGCGGUACAUUGACACUGAGGCACGAAAGCGUGGGGAUCAAACAGG
rnacentral:rRNA from 1 species